CAUGGCUCAGGAUGAACGCUAGCGGCAGGCCUAACACAUGCAAGUCGAGGGAGAAGCUCUUCGGGGCAGAAACCGGCGCACGGGUGCGUAACGCGUAUGCAACCUACCUUUUACAGGGGGAUAGCCCGAAGAAAUGUGGAGUAAUACCCCAUAAUAUUGUUGGAUGGCAUCAUUUGACAAUUAAAACUACGGUGGUGAGAGAUGGGCAUGCGUCCUAUUAGCUAGUUGGAGUGGUAACGGCACCCCAAGGCUACGAUAGGUAGGGGUCCUGAGAGGGAGAUCCCCCACACUGGUACUGAGACAGGGACCAGACUCCUACGG
rnacentral:rRNA from 1 species